rnacentral:rRNA from 1 species
UACGGAGGGUGCAAGCGUUAUCCGGAUUCACUGGGUUUAAAGGGUGCGUAGGUGGGUUGGUAAGUCAGUGGUGAAAUCUCCAGGCUUAACUUGGAAACUGCCAUUGAUACUAUCAAUCUUGAAUACCGUGGAGGUCAGCGGAAUAUGUCAUGUAGCGGUGAAAUGCUUAGAUAUGACAUAGAACACCAAUUGCGAAGGCAGCUGGCUACACGAAUACUGACACUGAUGCACGAAAGCGUGGGGAUCAAACAGG